rnacentral:misc_RNA from 1 species
GAGUUCGCGGUAAUUCCGGCGGAAUUCAAACGCCAGACCCCGGCCACGUCGGUUAAAUUGUUGCUCGAGCUACGUAAGUUCUCAGAUUGCCAGGGGAGGAGGAUACACGCGCACGGAGCCACGCGAACGUGAGUGUUAUUAAACUUUAAAUUAUGAACGCAACGGGCAGAACAAUUAAAAACGCGUGGCGUUAGCGGGCACACGGCUUCACGGCCACGGAUCCCGAGAGUGGUAAUCAAGAAUUAUGGUCCCCGUUGAUGUUGCCCCGUUAUCAAACUGGAUUUCUAUGAACGGUAUAUCUCAGGUCUGGCGCGCGCGAUCGAGCCCUCGACAAGGCCGCGCGACGAAUUUCAUCCGGCGGAUGCGUCGACACGCUGCCAGGCAAGCGGGGGGAUCCCGUGAUGGAAGCGUCGUCGCGACUUCCGGUCCACGCCCCCCGAACAGUUCUGCCCUAUCUCAGCUUUGUUUCGUUUAUUUUCUCUCGCGCACAACGCGAGCCAAGGACCUCUUCAGAAUUACACGAGAGCGUUCAUUAACGCGACCGGAGAAGAACGAUCCGCUAAUUAAUGUUACGAAGCUUGUCAGUGGACGAGAGCGACGCGCACUCUCGACCAUUUCUCUCUUCUUUGCUUCUUGUUUCGUCUUGCCCGCGAAGAAUGACAAGCGCGAAAGGUAGGAGAGGAAAAGCAAGAAAUGAAAGAGAUGG